rnacentral:misc_RNA from 1 species
AAUGAAUGUUAGCAAAUGACAUCUGGGGCACUGAAUGUCUCAGGCAUGCCUGUGAAUAUCACCAACAGGAUUGGGCACUAUCUAGGACAUGGCUCAGUAAUUGAAGCCUUAUUAGCAGAUAAGGGGGUGACUUCGCAUUUUUCUUUACUGGAUUCUGAGUAAUAGCCCUGAGAAAAUAAGUUUUCUGAUCCAGAACUGCUGUCCAUAAAGAAAGCUGGUGGUGAGUGUACUGGGAGAGUGAGAGAAUAGCUAUUAAGCAUGAGAACAACUGAAGCCAUG